rnacentral:rRNA from 1 species
CUACGGGACGCUCCAGUGAGCAAUAUUGCACAAUGGAGGAAACUCUGAUGCAGCAACGCCGCGUGGAGGGUGACGCAUUUCGGUGUGUAAACUCCUUUUAUGAGUCAAGAAAAUGACGGUAGCUCAUGAAUAAGCACCGGCUAACUCCGUGCCAGCAGCCGCGGUAAUACGGAGGGUGCAAGCGUUACUCGGAAUCACUGGGCGUAAAGGACGCGUAGGCGGGAUAUCAAGUCAGGUGUGAAAUCCUACAGCUUAACUGUAGAACAGCACUUGAAACUGGUAACCUAGAGUAUGGGAGGGGGAGAUGGAAUUAGUGGUGUAGGGGUAAAAUCCGUAGAUAUCACUAGGAAUACCUAAAGCGAAGGCGAUCUCCUGGAACAUAACUGACGCUAAGGCGUGAAAGCGUGGGGAGCAAACAGGAUUAGAUACCCGAGUAGUC